GAUGAAGAACGCAGCGAAAUGCGAUAAGUAAUGCGAAUUGCAGACUUCAGUGAAUCAUCGAAUCUUUGAACGCACAUUGCGCCCCCUGGUAUUCCGGGGGGCAUGCCUGUCCGAGCGUCAUUACAACCCUCAAGCUCAGCUUGGUAUUGGGCCCCGCCGACCCGGCGGGCCCUAAAGUCAGUGGCGGUGCCGUCCGGCUCCGAGCGUAGUAAUUCUUCUCGCUCUGGAGGUCCGGUCGUGUGCUCGCCAGCAACCCCCAAUUUUUUUCAGGUUGACCUCGGAUCAGGUAGGGAUACCCGCUGAACUUAAGCAUAUCAAUAAGCGGAGGA
rnacentral:misc_RNA from 1 species